rnacentral:ncRNA from 1 species
UAAUGAGGUAGAGGCGCAAAUUUUGAUCAGUAAUCUGCUUGCUUAAGGCUUAAACCGCUGCAGCAGAGGAAAGGCAAAUUUGCCGAAGUUUUCAGUCAGGGUUUAAUGGCUGUUUGCUGGGUCUGUAUAUAAUAUAUGCAGAACUGUCAUUAAAAGUUUUCCAGGCUUUUAAUGUUGAGCUAUCUCAAAA